GACGAACGCUGGCGGCGUGCUUAACACAUGCAAGUCGAACGGAAAGGCCCCUUCGGGGGUGCUCGAGUGGCGAACGGGUGAGUAACACGUGAGUAACCUGCCCCCUUCUUUGGGAUAACUGUCGGAAACGAUGGCUAAUACCGAAUAUACACAUCUGGUCGCAUGGUUGGGUGUGGAAAGUUUUUCGGUGGGGGAUGGGCUCGCGGCCUAUCAGCUUGUUGGUGGGGUGAUGGCCUACCAAGGCUUUGACGGGUAGCCGGCCUGAGAGGGCGACCGGCCACACUGGGACUGAGACACGGCCCAGACUCCUACGGGAGGCAGCAGUGGGGAAUAUUGCACAAUGGGCGAAAGCCUGAUGCAGCGACGCCGCGUGAGGGAUGACGGCCUUCGGGUUGUAAACCUCUUUCAGCAGGGACGAAGCGUGAGCGACGGUACCUGCAGAAGAAGCGCCGGCCAACUACGUGCCAGCCGCCGCCGUAAGAC
rnacentral:rRNA from 1 species